CUGAUGCAGCGACGCCGCGUGAGGGAUGAAGGCCUUCGGGUUGUAAACCUCUUUCAGCAGGGAAGAAGCGCAAGUGACGGUACCUGCAGAAGAAGCGCCGGCUAACUACGUGCCAGCAGCCGCGGUAAUACGUAGGGCGCAAGCGUUGUCCGGAAUUAUUGGGCGUAAAGAGCUCGUAGGCGGUUUGUCGCGUCUGGUGUGAAAACUCAAGGCUCAACCUUGAGCUUGCAUCGGGUACGGGCAGACUAGAGUGCGGUAGGGGUGACUGGAAUUCCUGGUGUAGCGGUGGAAUGCGCAGAUAUCAGGAGGAACACCGAUGGCGAAGGCAGGUCACUGGGCCGCAACUGACGCUGAGGAGCGAAAGCAUGGGGAGCGAACAGGAUUAGAUACCCUGGUAGUCCAUGCCGUAAACGUUGGGCACUAGGUGUGGGGCUCAUUCCACGAGUUCCGUGCCGCAGCAAACGCAUUAAGUGCCCCGCCUGGGGAGUACGGCCGCAAGGCUAAAACUCAAAGGAAUUGACGGGGGCCCGCACAAGCGGCGGAGCAUGCGGAUUAAUUCGAUGCAACGCGAAGAACCUUACCAAGGCUUGACAUACACCGGAAACUUCCAGAGAUGGUUGCCCCGCAAGGUCGG
rnacentral:rRNA from 1 species